rnacentral:rRNA from 1 species
CCUACGGGUGGCAGCAGUGGGGGAUAUUGCACAAUGGGGGGAACCCUGAUGCAGCGACGUCGCGUGGGUGAAGAAGCGCCUCGGCGCGUAAAGCUCUGUCAGUAGGGAAGAAAAUGACGCCACCUGAAGAAGAAGCUCCGGCUAACUACGUGCCAGCAGCCGCGGUAAUACGUAGGGGGCAAGCGUUAUCCGGAUUGACUGGGUGUAUAGGGGGCGCAGUCGGUGAUGCAAGCCAGGAGUGAAAGCUCGGGGCCCAACCCCGGGACUGCUCUUGGAACUGCGUGGCAGGAGUGCAGGAGGGGCAGGCGGAAUUCGUGGUGUAGCGGUGAAAUGCGUAGAUAUCAGGAGGAACACCGAUGGCGAAGGCAGCCUACUGGACUGCAACUGACGUUGAGGCCCGAAAGCGUGGGGAGCAAACAGGAUUAGAUACCCCUGUAGUC